rnacentral:rRNA from 1 species
ACCCGAAGGUUGGUGCGCUAACCCGCAAGGGAGGCAGCCAACCACGGUGGGAUCAGCGACUGGGGUG